rnacentral:rRNA from 1 species
UACAGAGGUCUCAAGCGUUGUUCGGAUUCAUUGGGCGUAAAGGGUGCGUAGGCGGCGCGGUAAGUCGGGUGUGAAAUCUUGGAGCUUAACUCCGAAACUGCAUUCGAUACUGCCGUGCUUGAGGACUGGAGAGGAGACUGGAAUUUACGGUGUAGCGGUGAAAUGCGUAGAUAAUCGUAAGGAAGACCGAGUGGCGAAGGCGGGUCUCUGGACAGUUCCUGACGCUGAGGCACGAAGGCCAGGGGAGCAAACGGG